rnacentral:rRNA from 1 species
AUUGAACGCUGGCGGCAGGCUUAACACAUGCAAGUCGAGCGGAGAUGAGGUGCUUGCACCUUAUCUUAGCGGCGGACGGGUGAGUAAUGCUUAGGAAUCUGCCAUUUAGUGGGGGACAACAUUCCGAAAGGAAUGCUAAUACCGCAUACGUCCUACGGGAGAAAGCAGGGGAUCUUCGGACCUUGCGCUAAAUGAUGAGCCUAAGUCGGAUUAGCUAGUUGGUGGGGUAAAGGCCUACCAAGGCGACGAUCUGUAGCGGGUCUGAGAGGAUGAUCCGCCACACUGGGACUGAGAAACGGCCCAGACUCCUACGGGAGGCAGCAGUGGGGAAUAUUGGACAAUGGGCGGAAGCCUGAUCCAGCCAUGCCAUGUGUGUGAAGAAGGCCUUUUGGUUGUAAAGCACUUUAAGCGAGGAGGAGGCUACUAGUACUAAUACUACUGGAUAGUGGACGUUACUCGCAGAAUAAGCACCGGCUAACUCUGUGCCAGCCGCCGCCGUAAUAC